rnacentral:rRNA from 1 species
UGCGUGCUUAACACAUGCAAGUCGAACGCUGAAGCCUGGUGCUUGCACCGGGUGGAUGAGUGGCGAACGGGUGAGUAACACGUGAGUAACCUGCCCCUGACUUCGGGAUAAGCCCGGGAAACUGGGUCUAAUACCGGAUACGACUGCCGGACGCAUGUCUGGUGGUGGAAAGUUUUUUCGGUUGGGGAUGGGCUCGCGGCCUAUCAGUUUGUUGGUGAGGUAAUGGCUCACCAAGACGACGACGGGUAGCCGGCCUGAGAGGGCGACCGGCCACACUGGGACUGAGACACGGCCCAGACUCCUACGGGAGGCAGCAGUGGGGAAUAUUGCACAAUGGGGGAAACCCUGAUGCAGCGACGCAGCGUGCGGGAUGACGGCCUUCGGGUUGUAAACCGCUUUCAGCAGGGAAGAAGCGCAAGUGACGGUACCUGCAGAAGAAGUACCGGCUAACUACGUGCCAGCAGCCGCGGUAAUACGUAGGGUACGAGCGUUGUCCGGAAUUAUUGGGCGUAAAGAGCUCGUAGGUGGUUGGUCACGUCUGCUGUGGAAACGCAACGCUUAACGUUGCGCGUGCAGUGGGUACGGGCUGACUAGAGUGCAGUAGGGGAGUCUGGAAUUCCUGGUGUAGCGGUGAAAUGCGCAGAUAUCAGGAGGAACACCGGUGGCGAAGGCGGGACUCUGGGCUGUAACUGACACUGAGGAGCGAAAGCAUGGGGAGCGAACAGGAUUAGAUACCCUGGUAGUCCAUGCCGUAAACGUUGGGCACUAGGUGUGGGGGGCAUUCCACGUUCUCCGCGCCGUAGCUAACGCAUUAAGUGCCCCGCCUGGGGAGUACGGUCGCAAGGCUAAAACUCAAAGGAAUUGACGGGGGCCCGCACAAGCGGCGGAGCAUGCGGAUUAAUUCGAUGCAACGCGAAGAACCUUACCAAGGCUUGACAUACACCGGACCGUCCUGGAAACAGGUCCUCUUCUUUGAAGCUGGUGUACAGGUGGUGCAUGGUUGUCGUCAGCUCGUGUCGUGAGAUGUUGGGUUAAGUCCCGCAACGAGCGCAACCCUCGUUCUAUGUUGCCAGCACGUGAUGGUGGGAACUCAUAGGAGACUGCCGGGGUCAACUCGGAGGAAGGUGGGGAUGACGUCAAAUCAUCAUGCCCUUUAUGUCUUGGGCUUCACGCAUGCUACAAUGGCUGGUACAGAGAGAGGCGAACCCGUGAGGGCAAGCGAAUCCCUUAAAGCCAGUCUCAGUUCGGAUCGUAGUCUGCAAUUCGACUACGUGAAGUCGGAGUCGCUAGUAAUCGCAGAUCAGCAACGCUGCGGUGAAUACGUUCCCGGGCCUUGUACACACCGCCCGUCAAGUCACGAAAGU